rnacentral:rRNA from 1 species
AGAGUUUGAUCAUGGCUCAGAAUGAACGUUGGCGGCGUGGAUUAGGCAUGCAAGUCGAACGGGCCUGGUUGAAAGAUCAGGUCAGUGGCGCAAGGGUGAGUAAGGCGACGGUAACCAACCCCACGGUUGGGUAUAGCCGCGGGAAACUGCGGGUAAUCCCCAGCGAUGUAAGAUUUCGGCAUCGGAGUUUUAUCAAAGCUUUGGCGCCGUGGGACGGGCCGUUUGUGGUAUUAGGUAGUUGGCGGGGUAACGGCCCACCAAGCCGAUGAUGCCUACCGGGCGUGCGAGCGUGGCCCGGCACACUGGGACUGAGACACUGCCCAGACUCCUACGGGAGGCUGCAGUCGAGAAUCUUCGGCAAUGGGCGCAAGCCUGACCGAGCGACGCCGCGUGGAGGAUGAAGGCCUUCGGGUUGUAAACUCCUGUCGAGGGGGAGGAAGGGGCAACCUUGACCGAUCCCUGGAGGAAGCACGGGCUAAGUUCGUGCCAGCAGCCGCGGUAAGACGAACCGUGCGAACGUUAUUCGGAAUCACUGGGCUUAAAGCGCGUGUAGGCGGAUGGGAACGUCGGUGCCUGAAAGCCCCCGGCUCAACCGGGGAAGUGGAGCCGAAACGACCUGUCUGGAGGGACGUAGGGGGACCUGGAACUUCCGGUGGAGCGGUGAAAUGCUGAGAUCGGAAGGAACGCCCGUGGCGAAAGCGAGGUCCUGGACGUCUUCUGACGCUGAGACGCGAAAGCUAGGGGAGCAAACGGGAUUAGAUACCCUAGUAGUCC